UACGUAGGGGGCAAGCGUUGUCCGGAUUUAUUGGGCGUAAAGAGCGUGUAGGCGGCUUGGCAAGUCCGCUGUGAAAACUCGAGGCUUAACCUCGAGACGUCGGUGGAAACUGCCUGGCUAGAGUCCGGAAGAGGAGAGUGGAAUUCCUGGUGUAGCGGUGAAAUGCGCAGAUAUCAGGAAGAACACCCGUGGCUAAGGCGGCUCUCU
rnacentral:rRNA from 1 species